GCCGGGGGCUGAAGGUUGGAACAAUCAUUGAUGACGUAAUAAUCAGUGGGUAAACUUUGAAGACGACUCCGAAAGAAUUCGCAACUCUGACGGAGUUCUAUGGGAGUACUGUGGCUACGACCCCGUUGCGGGCACGCCCCGUGAUUCAUUGUUCCCCGUCUACCAUCGCGAGAGCUCGACUGUACCGCGAGGGGAGGCGAGGAGGACACGAUUCAGGGAGAGGUUCAGCUUCUUAUGGAGAGAAGUCAUUGGAGCACCCAAUUCUUAUCUCUGCCUCAUUGCAUCAUAUUAUCUGUGACUGACUUCUAUGCAUUGUAAAAGAGAUCAAUUUUCAUUUAUCUACACGGCUGUGACGUCAUGAUGACCGCUGAUGCAACUUUUACUGAUAGAGGAAGGAGUGUUAACAGGGAAAUACAAAGCAAAUGACGUAGUCGCCACUAAUGCGAAGAUUUCACUUCGAAUGAACACUGCGGCGAUCUUUGAACAUAUAAUAAAUGAAGAAAAUUAACAAUAACAACUAUAUUUAAAAGGAAUUCGGAGAAAAUAAGAGAGGCUGGGCUCUGAAAAUAAAGAAUGAAAUGAGACAGUCAUGGGGUUUAUGAAGUGAUCAUCGCUUGUGAAAUUGUAACAGUCGUUAUUUUUCAACGCACCAUUUUCGUUCUGAUAUUUGGGGAUUUUGUUUGGAUGGAUGGCCUUCAACAAUUCGUUUAACAUAUUCGUUCUCAACAUAUAUUUUUGUUUUUAAAAUUGUGACAAUAUUAUAUAUAGCGUAAAAAUGAGCUACUGGACAUAUGCUUUUUUGUUCUGCUAUAAGUCGGCCAUAUUCG